rnacentral:rRNA from 1 species
CCUACGGGAGGCAGCAGUGAGGAAUAUUGGGCAAUGGACGAGAGUCUGAACCAGCCAAGUAGCGUGAAGGAUGACCGCCCUAUGGGUUGUAAACUUCUUUUAUAAAGGAAUAAAACGAGGCACGUGUGCCUUUUUGCAUGUACUUUAUGAAGAAGGAACGGCUAACUCAGUGCCAGCAGCCGCGGUAAUACGGAGGAUACGAGGGGUAGUUGGAUUUAUUGGGUUUAACGGGAGCGUAGAUGGGUUGGUAAGUCAGUUGUGAAAGUUUGCGGCUCAACCGUAAAAGUGCAAUUGAUACUGGCAGUCUUGAGUACAGUUGAGGUAGGCGGAAUUCGUGGUGUAGCGGUGAAAUGCUUAGAUAUCACGAAGAACCCCGAUUGCGAAGGCAGCUUACUAAACUGUGACUGACAUUGAUGCUCGAAAGUGUGGGUAUCAAACAGGAUUAGAUACCCGGGUAGUC